UUACUCCUGGGGUCUGGGUGAGCAUCUGGCCCCGACCUGGUAAAGGGUCGGUUUCGCCCAGCAGUAAGCCCUACAUGUGGACAGAGGACGAACACCGGAUGAGCGAACGGAGACUACAUGCAACAAGUGGUGACCCCGACGUGAUCUGUCUGCUGAGGGUGGCUGCCCGGCGUGCCCGUGACGCGGAGAAGAGCCUGUGAGGUGGCGGCAGGUCGCGCACGGAAGACGUAUUGCGGUUAAGAGCCUGCGAGGUGGCGGCAGGUCGCAUACGUAACAAUGGACCAAGUCAUUAAGGUGGGACUUGCUCACCUCGGCGCUAUGCCAGCGCGCCAUGGCCAGUCAGAAGGCUACGGAACUUAAAACGUGGGGACUGAUAUUAGGAGCCCUUAAAGCGGCCAGAGUUGAGGGAAAGGUAUUGGUGGAGGCUCGAUACCUUUUGGGUCUCAGCGGAGGAGGUGAGACACAGGACCCGGUCGGGUCCGAUGGGGGUUUGGGAGCAGUUUCUUGCAGGGGCCGAGAGGAGACGGAGCCGCCAAUGACCGUUGGCGAAAUGGCGCCGGCUGAGCCGACCGCGCUCAGUUCAAAAGAAGACAAACAACAAGAGAGUGAAAGUUCGUUGUCUCGUCCCCCUCCCCCGUAUCCAAACCCCUCAGGCGGAACGUUGUAUCCUUUAUCAGAAUUACGUCAGUGUUACCUGACUCAAGGGGGCGAAGGAAGCUGUGAUCUACAUGGGCAGGAUCAACUUAGUGCCCACAUGGGGAGGGACCAGACAAAAGGUCCGUCCAAAGCGGACAGGGGGCAUAGCCUACUGUCUCUGGUCACUCCCAGGGGCGGUAGUGCGAGUGAUAGUGUAGAAGAGAAAGAAGGGACUGGCUUUGAGUGCAGGGGGAGGGAUCAAAUGACGGACUGGAAUGGGAUUAGAUCGGAGGCUUUGGGAAAGGGUAUAGUUCCAGAGGCAUUCCGGGUGAUUGUGAGUGAUCGUGGUCCCGAAUGGGUGCCGCCUGACCCCGGGGGUGUUACGCGCCUGGUGGAAUUUAUGGAUAAAAGAGGCCUGAAAUCGCCUCUGACAUUAAAUGCACUACAAACUUUGGCUGCACUGGGGCCUCUCCUCCCCCGUGACAUCACAAACUUAAUGCGUACGGUGCUCAGGCUGGUUCAAUAUACGUUAUGGGAGACGGACUGGGUGGCCGAGUUGGGGGGCCGUGCCGGGGCGACAGGGGUCGGCCCGCGCCGCUCCCUGCAUGGGACCGGAAUACAGCGGCUUUCAGGGAAGGCCGUGGGAGUGGCUUCGCCCCAGGGCCAGCUAGCGAGACUAAGGCCAGGGGAGCUAAUAGCAGCCACAGAUGCAGUGGUGGAAGCGUUUAAUAAACUUGUGCAUAAGGCCGAACCACCUACUCCGUGCACAGAUAUUACCCAGGGCCCGAAUGAAUCCUUUCAAAGCUUUACAGACAGGCUUUUAGCUGCUGCAGAGGGGUCUGAUCUCCUGGUACCGGCCCAAGGGCCAGUGAUCAUUGACUGCUUGCAGCAGAAAUCGCAUGACAAUGUUAAGGCAUUGCUGCGAGCCGGCCGAAUACGCUUAAUACCUCGGGAGAAGUUAUUCAGUAUGUCUUAGAUAAGCUCAAGGUGACUCAUUUAACUAAUGAAAGGCUAGUCACAGCUAUUGUCGUAGCUGUUGGCCCGCGGCAGCAAAGAUCGCUGCAGCAGCAAGGGCUGUGUUUCCGAUACGGCCAGUAUGGCCAUGUUAGAGCACAAUGCCCCUGUGGGGGAGGCCAGUCAGGGCCUCCUGAUCACAGGAAGGGCUUGCUGAAGGGUAUCCGUGGUCGGGUAUGCAGCAGUUAAAUAUCAUGAAUCUGGGAAAUUCUGUGGGUACCAUCGCGAAAAGUAAUACCAGAUAUAAGUAGAAUAUCUGCAAAAACUGAGUCUAGGUGCGAGUUUUCUACAGAAAUUCUUCGUUGGCAGACCGAAGCCAACUCCAGAACAACUGAGGGACAGACGAUGGGAUCAAGAACCAUUCGUCAAGAGGAGCACUACACCUGCAACGCUGACACUUCCGAUGUUGCUGAUAUUUAUGGUGUCCAUGGCGAUUACAGAGUGUCACAAACAACUACAAUGGACACAAGAACAUAUGCAGAAGAUUAAAGAAGAGCGUGAUCCCUUUGGAAGCUGGCUGGACGGACUGUUUGGGGGAACGGGUUCAUGGUUAAAGCAAUUGCUUAAAGCUCUCGCAGUAGGAUUUGCAAUCUUUGUGUGUAUUCUAAUCUGUCUUCCAUGCUUUGUAGGAUGCUUGCCUUCAACGAAUGAUGGAAAAGACUUUUGACUAUCACAUUGAGUAUCAUAGAUUGCGUGAAAAAUUAUAGAGGGGUUUAGGUUGUUGCGUUCGUGCUGUAACGGGGCAAGGCUUGGCCGAGCACGGAAAAGAAUUCCCUGUUGCUCUGAUGAUUGCUUAAGAACUGUAGUAGAAAAUAGUAGGAAUAGUGUGCUGAAAUAUAUUUAGGAUUAGGCGUUUUGCGCUGCUUCGCGAUGUACGGGUUAGGUGUGUGUGUAAGUAGUAUUUAGCUUAGGGAGGGGGAGAUGUUGUAGUAGGCGUCUUGCGGGGGCACGGGAUGUACGGGACAGGCCUCUCCCUAAACAUAGAGAGAUAGUGCUAUCGUGCUGACCUUGUUGCAGAGAAAACAGGAGAAGAAGAAGGAUGAUAAAAGAAUGUGGAAACGGCCAAAUAAGGCACAAUGUUAUCUGGUGUGAACUAAUCAGAGUGGGACAU
ensembl:lncRNA